rnacentral:rRNA from 1 species
ACGCCGCGUGAGUGAUGAAGGUUUUCGGAUCGUAAAGCUCUGUUGUCAGGGAAGAACAAGUGCGGGAGUCACUGCCCGCGCCUUGACGGUACCUGACCAGAAAGCCACGGCUAACUACGUGCCAGCAGCCGCGGUAAUACGUAGGUGGCAAGCGUUGUCCGGAAUUAUUGGGCGUAAAGCGCGCGCAGGCGGUCUUUUAAGUCUGAUGUGAAAGCCCCCGGCUCAACCGGGGAGGGUCAUUGGAAACUGGAGGACUUGAGUACAGAAGAGGAGAGUGGAAUUCCACGUGUAGCGGUGAAAUGCGUAGAGAUGUGGAGGAACACCAGUGGCGAAGGCGACUCUCUGGUCUGUAACUGACGCUGAGGCGCGAAAGCGUGGGGAGCGAACAGGAUUAGAUACCCUGGUAGUCCACGCCGUAAACGAUGAGUGCUAAGUGUUAGAGGGUUUCCGCCC